UCGAGCGGCAGCGACUUAACUGAACCUUCGGGGAACGUUAAGGGCGGCGAGCGGCGGACGGGUGAGUAAUGCCUGGGAAUAUGCCCUGAUGUGGGGGAUAACUAUUGGAAACGAUAGCUAAUACCGCAUAAUCUCUUCGGAGCAAAGAGGGGGACCUUCGGGCCUCUCGCGUCAGGAUUAGCCCAGGUGGGAUUAGCUUGUUGGUGAGGUAAUGGCUCACCAAGGCAACGAUCCCUAGCUGGUCUGAGAGGAUGAUCAGCCACACUGGAACUGAGACACGGUCCAGACUCCUACGGGAGGCAGCAGUGGGGAAUAUUGCACAAUGGGGGAAACCCUGAUGCAGCCAUGUCGCGUGUGUGAAGAAGGCCUUCGGGUUGUAAAGCACUUUCAGUAGGGAGGAAGGUAGUGUAGUUAACACCUGCACUAUUUGACGUUACCUACAGAAGAAGCACCGGCUAACUCCGUGCCAGCAGCCGCGGUAAUACGGAGGGUGCGAGCGUUAAUCGGAAUUACUGGGCGUAAAGCGCAUGCAGGCGGCCUGUUAAGUCAGAUGUGAAAGCCCGGGGCUUAACCUCGGAAUUGCAUUUGAAACUGGCAGGCUAGAGUCUG
rnacentral:rRNA from 1 species